UGUAUAUUUACCUCGUACAGGUCUAUCAUGACGUUGUAUAUUUACCUCGUACAGGUCUUUCAUGACGUUGUAUAUUUACCUCGUACAGGUCUAUCAUGACGUUGUAUAUUUACCUCGUACAGGUCUUUCAUGACGUUGUAUAUUUACCUCGUACAGGUCUAUCAUGACGUUGUAUAUUCACCUCGUACAGGUCUAUCAUGACGUUGUAUAUUUACCUCGUACAGGUCUUUCAUGACGUUGUAUAUUUACCUCGUACAGGUCUAUCAUGACGUUGUAUAUUUACCUCGUACAGGUCUUUCAUGACGUUGUAUAUUUACCUCGUACAGGUCUUUCAUGACG